UGGGCGCAGCCUGAUGCAGCGACGCCGCGUGAGGGAUGACGGCCUUCGGGUUGUAAACCUCUUUCAGCAGGGAAGAAGCGAAAGUGACGGUACCUGCAGAAGAAGCGCCGGCUAACUACGUGCCAGCAGCCGCGGUAAUACGUAGGGCGCGAGCGUUGUCCGGAAUUAUUGGGCGUAAAGAGCUUGUAGGCGGUUUGUUGCGUCUGCUGUGAAAGACCGGGGCUUAACCCCGGUAUUGCAGUGGGUACGGGCAGACUAGAGUGCAGUAGGGGAGACUGGAAUUCCUGGUGUAGCGGUGAAAUGCGCAGAUAUCAGGAGGAACACCGAUGGCGAAGGCAGGUCUCUGGGCUGUAACUGACGCUGAGAAGCGAAAGCAUGGGGAGCGAACAGGAUUAGAUACCCUGGUAGUCCAUGCCGUAAACGUUGGGCACUAGGUGUGGGGGACAUUCCACGUUUUCCGCGCCGUAGCUAACGCAUUAAGUGCCCCGCCUGGGGAGUACGGCCGCAAGGCUAAAACUCAAAGGAAUUGACGGGGGCCCGCACAAGCGGCGGAGCAUGCGGAUUAAUUCGAUGCAACGCGAAGAACCUUACCAAGGCUUGACAUAUACUGGACCGCCUCAGAGAUGGGGUUUCCCUUCGGGGCUGGAUACAGGUGGUGCAUGGUUGUCGUCAGCUCGUGUU
rnacentral:rRNA from 1 species